CGCACGAACGCAAAUGCACGAGGGUCAGUGUAUUGUGUUCUUCAAAUGACGUGUUUGCAUAAAAUAAAUAAUAUUAGUUUCUAUAUGCAUUGAUUAUAACAAUUAAUAAUUUGAAUGAAAUUUAUAUUUAUUUAGAAUGAAAAACCAAUCAAAUCUAAUACUAUUUUUUGAAUCAAUAGCAUAAGUAUUUGAAAAAAAGGAAAUUACAUUCAGAUCUAUGACUGAUUUUAUCAGUACGGAAAACAUUAAAACGAGUCAGUCUUGAAGAAACCGCUGAGUUGAAAAGUUGUCACACAAAUUAUUUCCAAUCUAUUUGAAAAUGAAAAAAAAACUAAAAAAAUGUUAGAGUGAAUAAGUAAACUUAUAAAGUGGCAAAAAUCAUCAAGUGAUCGACAAAGAAAUUUGAUAAAGUGUUGGAAAUCGUUAGAUUGGGUAAGUAAAAAAAUAUUUGCCAGAAAAGUAUUAACCAUAUUCGGUAAAUUAAAUUAAAUUUAUUUCUUCUUUUAAGCUAAAAUGGAAUGUCAAACUUUUUAUUAUUUUAUUUAAAUUUAAAAUUCGUCGUAAGAAUUUUUUAUUAUUUAAUACUUUACUAACGAUUUGUAAUUUUCAAUAUUUUUCAAGUUCAAUCGAUCAUCCUGAUUGCAAGUCAUUGUUGAUUGGAAACGUCCGUGAGCAGAAGCUGGAAAAUUAUCCCCAUCUGUUUUAUCGAACUACUUUUCUUCAAAAAUUCCAUCUAGGAGAGACCUAAAUAGUAUCAAGGACAAUCAUUGUCUUUUCCAUGGAAUUGGAAAAGUGAUUCGCAGAUAGCAGCAGAACUCAGAGCAAACAGUAAAGGCCGUAAAUCUGCAAAACACAACUUAGAAAAGUGAGCGCUGUAAUAAAAGUAGACGAGGAGCACUACCACUGAUCAAAUUUCAUUAUGUCAUCGUUUAUCUUUACGGGGCAAAACACAAUCAGUCUUUUGAAAUAUCUUAUUUCUUCUGAAACUGGUAAACACAAUUGGGAGAAAGCAGAAGAACAUACAUCCAAAAGCUGAGAAGAAGACUUCACGAAACUACUAGAAAGUCGUGCAACACCCCAUAGAAAUUAAUGUAAUACAAUUUUAUUGUGAAUACACAUUAUUUAUGUCAAAUAAAUUUAUUUUUGAAAUCAUAGCAAGAGUUUUUUAAAUAUACCCUGGUACUGUUAUAUCUACCCGAGAAUAUUAUUUGAUUUAAUGUGGAGGAAUAUCAAAGCAAACAUAUUUGCCAUUGAAUCUAUGGUAAAGUACAUUUAAAUAUACCAAGGAAAUUUUUAAUUUUACCCAUUGUGUAUUUAAAUUAAUGGUAAAUCGUGGUUAAAACAAAUAUUUCUACUAUUGAAACUAUGGUAGUGUUACCCAGAAAUUUUUGAUUCUACCCAUGAAAGUGUUUAAAAUCCACUUUAGAAAUAAAGUGCAAAUGUAUUUGAUUUAAAAGACAUGUUUUCUUUUCAAAUACAGUGCCAUUCAAAAUAAAUACAAAUAUAUUUGUUGUGGCUAUGAUUACUGCCUUUCAGAUCAAAUGUAAAAAUAUUUGAAGUAAAAGUCAUCUGUAUUUAAAUCAAAAAAUACUUUAAAAUCAAAUGUAUUCUACCAUUGGGGCCAAAAUACCCAUAAUUUCAUUUGAUUUUACCCAGAAAAACAUUAAUACUACCCAUAAAA